rnacentral:rRNA from 1 species
UGGGGAAUUUUGCACAAUGGGGGAAACCCUGAUGCAGCGACGCCGCGUGAUUUAGAAGGCCUUCGGGUUGUAAAAAUCUUUUGUAUAGGAAGAAAAUGACAGUACUAUACGAAUAAGGACCGGCUAAUUACGUGCCAGCAGCCGCGGUAAUACGUAAGGUCCGAGCGUUGUCCGGAAUCAUUGGGCGUAAAGGGUACGUAGGCGGGUAAGCAAGUUAGAAGUGAAAUCCUAUAGCUCAACUAUAGUAAGCUUUUAAAACUGCUCAUCUUGAGGUAUGGAAGGGAAAGUGGAAUUCCGAGUGUAGCGGUGAAAUGCGCAGAUAUUAGGAGGAAUACCGGUGGCGAAGGCGACUUUCUGGCCAUAACCUGACGCUGAGGUACGAAAGCGUGGGUAGCAAACAGG